AGACAGCUUUAUCAUUAUGCUAAGAACAAGUUGCUUACAGAAAAGCAAGACUGUAAGGGACCAGCCUAUUAGGGUCCAAAUUCAGCCUCAACCUCCUGCAGUGCAAGAUGAAGUGGACCUCCAGCAUCUAGCAGGCCAUAAUGAAGAGAACAUCCAGCAGGUGUUAAAACCUGCUCACAAGGCCCCCCCACCUGUUCUCCAGCACCUAAUCUAGAAAACCCUAAGGGCCUUUCCAAGAACUGAUGGAGGGGACCAUCAGCCAAUACAAGAAACUCAAUAUCCACAGCAUCUUCCUGACCGAUUUGAGGAAAUUUAAGCCCAAGAACAAGGUGUCAUUUACUUGGAAAGCUAUG